rnacentral:tRNA from 1 species
GCGCGAUUAGCUCAGUGGUAGAGCGUCGUCUUGACGUGACGAAGGCCGUAGGCUCAAUCCCUACAUCGCGCA